AGGAUGAACGCUGGCGGCGUGCCUAAUACAUGCAAGUCGAGCGGUAAGGUCCCUUCGGGGAUACACGAGCGGCGGACGGCUGAGUAACACGUAGGAACGUACCCCAAACUGAGGGAUAAGCACCAGAAAUGGUGUCUAAUACCGCAUGUGGUCUUCGGAUUAAAGCUUCGGCGGUUUGGGAACGGCCUGCGCAUGAUUAGCUUGUUGGUGAGGUAAUAGCUCACCGAGGCGACGAUCAUUAGCUGGUCUGAGAGGAUGAUCAGCCAGACUGGAACUGAGAACGGUCCAGACUCCUACGGGAGGCAGCAGUAGGGAAUUUUCCACAAUGGGCGAAAGCCUGAUGGAGCAACGCCGCGUGCAGGAUGAAUGCUUCGGUGUAACUGCUUUAUAUGUGACGAUUAUGACGGUAGCAUAUGAAUAAGGAUCGGCUAACUCCGCGCCAGCAGCCGC
rnacentral:rRNA from 1 species